rnacentral:tRNA from 1 species
AAGGAUUUAGGUUAAAUUAAACCCAUAGCCUUCAAAGCUAUAAAUAAAGAAAACUUUAAGCCUUA